GGCGAACGGGUGAGUAACACGUGAGUAACCUGCCCUUGACUCUGGGAUAAGCCUGGGAAACUGGGUCUAAUACUGGAUAUGACUUCUCACCGCAGGGUGGGGGGUGGAAAGAUUUAUUGGUCUUGGAUGGACUCGCGGCCUAUCAGCUUGUUGGUGAGGUAAUGGCUCACCAAGGCGACGACGGGUAGCCGGCCUGAGAGGGUGACCGGCCACACUGGGACUGAGACACGGCCCAGACUCCUACGGGAGGCAGCAGUGGGGAAUAUUGCACAAUGGGCGCAAGCCUGAUGCAGCGACGCCGCGUGAGGGAUGACGGCCUUCGGGUUGUAAACCUCUUUCAGUAGGGAAGAAGCGAAAGUGACGGUACCUGCAGAAGAAGCGCCGGCUAACUACGUGCCAGCAGCCGCGGUAAUACGUAGGGCGCGAGCGUUAUCCGGAAUUAUUGGGCGUAAAGAGCUCGUAGGCGGUUUGUCGCGUCUGCCGUGAAAGUCCGGGGCUUAACCCCGGAUCUGCGGUGGGUACGGGCAGACUAGAGUGCAGUAGGGGAGACUGGAAUUCCUGGUGUAGCGGUGAAAUGCGCAGAUAUCAGGAGGAACACCGAUGGCGAAGGCAGGUCUCUGGGCUGUAACUGACGCUGAGGAGCGAAAGCAUGGGGAGCGAACAGGAUUAGAUACCCUGGUAGUCCAUGCCGUAAACGUUGGGCACUAGGUGUGGGGGACAUUCCACGUUUUCCGCGCCGUAGCUAACGCAUUAAGUGCCCCGCCUGGGGAGUACGGCCGCAAGGCUAAAACUCAAAGGAAUUGACGGGGGCCCGCACAAGCGGCGGAGCAUGCGGAUUAAUUCGAUGCAACGCGAAGAACCUUACCAAGGCUUGACAUGUUCCUGACCGCCGUAGAGAUACGGUUUCCCCUUUGGGGCAGGUUCACAGGUGGUGCAUGGUUGUCGUCAGCUCGUGUCGUGAGAUGUUGGGUUAAGUCCCGCAACGAGCGCAACCCUCGUUCCAUGUUGCCAGCACGUAGUGGUGGGGACUCAUGGGAGACUGCCGGGGUCAACUCGGAGGAAGGUGGGGACGACGUCAAAUCAUCAUGCCCCUUAUGUCUUGGGCUUCACGCAUGCUACAAUGGCCGGUACAAUGGGUUGCGAUACUGUGAGGUGGAGCUAAUCCCAAAAAGCCGGUCUCAGUUCGGAUUGGGGUCUGCAACUCGACCCCAUGAAGUCGGAGUCGCUAGUAAUCGCAGAUCAGCAACGCUGCGGUGAAUACGUUCCCGGGCCUUGUACACACCGCCCGUCAAGUCACGAAAGU
rnacentral:rRNA from 1 species